AAAUACUCAAAUUGAACUACUCGUAUAAUCUUGGAGAUAUGGUCCAUAAGUUUCUACCAAACUACCGUAAAGAGUUUGACUACGAGAAUCCCCCUUCUUAAU
rnacentral:ncRNA from 2 species